GCACGGACACGAGGAAUCGGACUGUAUAAUUAAAACAAAGCAUUGCGACGGCCGGUGAUCGGUGUUGACGCAAUGUGAUUUCUGCCCAGUGCUCUGAAUGUCAAAGUGAAGAAAUUCAACCAAGCGCGGGUAAACGGCGGGAGUAACUAUGACUCUCUUGUGGCCAGCAGGCCAACCAUGCUGAUCCGGAGACAAACUUACGAGAACUCGUCAUCGCCGCUUUAAGAGAUGCUUCCUGUCGCGAGGCUCCAGAGGGAACUCUCCUCAAGGAACUCUCUGUUUUAGCUGGAUUAGCCCUCGAAGGGCGAUGCAUCCUGAACGACACGGCAGAUGCCGUUCUGAAACGCAUAUCACCGCCACCAAGGCGGAAUUCUAAAUCAGCCAUUCAUCCAGCUGCGAAAGUGACGCCAGGCACCCUUCGGCAGCACAGGCAAUUGCGCUAUAGACAGCUCAAGCGGUUAUACAAUACAAAUCGGACUAGGCUUGCUGAAGCAGUCCUUGACGGAGUCCCGCCAGUCGAGCACGAAGUACCUCUUUCAGAGUGUACAGCAUUCUAUACGAAGGCCUUUGGAGAGUGCUCACCUGAUGAUAGCGCACCGUUCUUGCUGAAGCAAUUUCAGCGAGCGCCUCAGGAGCAAAUGAGCGGACUCAUUUCACCUGUUUUGCCCAACGAAGUACGAGCUGCGCUGUCGAAAAUUUCGCGCAAAUCAGCCGCUGGUCCAGACAGAGUUUCUGUGGAUCAUGUGCGAAGCCUGCCAGAAGCUGAACUGGUCUUGUUAUUCAAUUUAUGGCUGUUUUACCAGGAUGUACCAGCAUGUUUUAAAGUUUGUCGGACAGUUUUAAUCCCAAAGAAGAGCGAAGUUCAAGGACCCGGUGACUACCGGCCUAUUACCAUCGCAUCAGUAUUUUAUCGGCUUUUUACAAAAAUUCUGGCGAAUCGUUUAUCUACAAUGGUCGAGUUGAAUCUCAGGCAGAAAGGUUUUACCAAGAAGACAGACGGUUGCGGAGAAAACAUCUUUAUUUUAAAUGCUGCCCUUGCCCUCUCUCGUGGCGAGCACAGAGAGUUGAGUUUGGCAACGCUCGACAUUGCCAAGGCGUUCGACACGGUGUCCCACAAUUCUGUCCGCCGUGCACUGUCGCGUCAAGGAGUGGGAGAUAGCGACGUGCAGCUCAUAACCAAUCUUCUGGCCAACUCAUAUACACAAAUCGAGCAUUCUUCAGGUACCUCCGAUUUGAUCCCAAUACGGAGAGGCGUCAAGCAAGGCGAUCCGUUGUCGCCCCUGCUCUUUUCGCUAGUCAUUGAUGAAUUGCUCGAUCACUUGGCCCAGAAUGGAGGAGGCUUCACUUUCACGAAUAAUGUCCAGGUGAACUGCCUUGCGUUCGCCGAUGACCUACUCCUCCUGAGCGACAGCAAGGCAGGUCUGCAGAGCAAUCUGUUACUUUGUUAUCGUUUUUUUACCGCUCGCAGCCUGUCCUUGAAUGUGCAGAAAUGCUGUUCGCUCAGGCUGUACAAGGUACCGAGGUGCCGUACGGUCGCUCUUACCAUGGAGCCUCAAUUUUACCUAGACCCGGCACAGCCGCAAUCAAUUUUACCGGUUUUUACUGCGGCACAGUUCUUCAAGUACCUAGGAGUAGAGUUCAACCCGUUCGGCCGGCGGCGCGACCAGAUAGCGGGGGCGCGGGCGCUCCUAGAUCGUGCAUGCAAAGCAGAAUUGAAGCCUCAACAGAAGUUAGAGCUGAUCCGAACGCACUUGCUGCCACGAUUACUUUUUACCCUGACGGUGGGCAACCCACUAAGCCAGGCGGCAGCAACCAUCGACAAGAUGGUAAGGCAGGCAGUCAAACGAUGUCUCCACCUGCCCGUUAGCACGUUAUCGAAUGAUUUUAUUUACUUAUCCAGGAAGAAAGGCGGUCUUGGUCUUACCAAUCUGCAGGAAACGGCUGAUCGCAGUACAAUACGAUUACUGCUGAACAUGAGUAGAAGUGCCGACGUGGCGGCACAGUGCGUCUCCGAGCUCUGGUUUAACCAGCGCCGGCGUAGCCAAUUGAUGAGGCGGCAAGGCGUCAUUACGUUUAGCCAGAGUGGCAUACAGGGAGCAAAGUUGGCCCGGGCGCAGGCCCGUGAAGCCAAAUUCCUGGCGACUUACCAAGGAACUGGCUACAAGGAGUUCUGUGACUGGCGCAGCAAUGGGUGGAUUGCUGGUGACGGGAUGACGGGGCGCAACUUCAUCUCCGCACUAAAGGUAAGAACUUCCCUGGUCCCCACGCGCUUGCAGGCCCUUCGGGGCCGAGCUGAACCGGGUGACCAGAGGGUUCUCUGCCGAAAGUGCGGAGUAGUAAGCGGCGCCUCCGAAUCUCUGAUCCACAUCUCCCAGAACUGCGCCUUCACAGGCGGGCUCAUAGUCCGGAGGCACAAUGAUAUUCUGAAGAAGCUGAUGCAGUCAGCGGAAGCCUCCGGAUUCCAUCUUGUACAUGAGCCCGUGAUCCGGCUGGAAGGGGA
rnacentral:ncRNA from 1 species